rnacentral:rRNA from 1 species
AUAGUAAUUAGUAGAAGAGAAGAAGAAGUGUUUUAAUUAUUAGUAUUGACGAGAGAAUAUAGAUUUAAAACUGUAGGUUAUUAGUACCGUGAGGGAAUAAUAUUAAAUUAAAUAAAAGUAGGAUUUAAGUACCGUACCUUUUGUAUGAUGGCUUAUCGAGUGAUAUCUUAUCAUAUGAUAGUUUCCCGAAAUAAAAUGAGCUAUUAAUACCCUUUGUCAGUGUUGAAGAAUUGUAUGUGGAGGUAUUAAUAGAGGUGAUAUGCCUAACGAAUUUUAUGGUAGCUGGUUUAUUAGGAAAAAUAUGUAAGUAUUGGCUAGAUAUUAUUAUAAGUGCAUAUUUUUAAAUGUGUGUUUUUAUUUCUUAGCUUAGGUUAAAGGGGAUAAGCUCUUUAAUCAAUUAACAUAAAUUUAUUUAGUUUUUAGUUUAUUUUAGGCUUAAUAUUAGUCAUAAAUAGAAAAAUUGUUAUAGAUUAUAUAAUGAAUUUAUUUUUAUAGGUUUUGUUGAUUGUACUAAUAUUUUAUAGUAAAUAGGUUUUUAUAAAAAAUUAUGAUAAGAUGAGUAUUGCUACUUAAAAAUUUUUAUUAUUUAUAAAUAUUUAAAAUGGUUUAGAUAUAAAUUAUAGUAAGUGAAAUGUAGUAAAAGAAAUGAAGAAAAGGAAUUCGGCAAAAAUUUGUUUCGCCUGUUUAUCAAAAACAUGGCUCUUUGAGGUUAAAAUAUAGAGAGUCGAGCCUGCCCAAUGACGUAAUGUUGAAUGGCCGCGGUACUCUGACCGUGCGAAGGUAGCAUAAUCAUUUGUCUUUUAAUUGAGGACUAGAAUGAAUGGUUUGACGAAAACAAAACUGUCUUUUCUUUAUUAAGUAGAAAUUAGUUUUUAAGUGAAGAAACUUUAAUUUUUGUAAAAGACAAGAAGACCCUAUUGAGCUUUAUUGUAAAAUAUUAUUUUAAUUAUUAUAAUUAUUAGAAGGUUUAAAAAAUGUUUUUAUAAAUUGGUUGGGGCGACUUAGGAAUAUAAGAAACUUCCUUUAGUUAUUGUAAUAGUAACUUAAUGAUCCGGUAUUAUCGAUUAAAGGAAAUAGUUACCAUAGGGAUAACAGCGUAAUUUUUUUUGAGAGUUCCUAUCGAAAAAAAAGUUUGCGACCUCGAUGUUGGAUUGAAGUAUCUAGAAGGUGUAGCAGCUUUUUGGGUUGGUCUGUUCGACCAUUAAAACUUUACAUGAUCUGAGUUCAGACCGGCGUGAGCCAGGUCGGUUUCUAUCUUUACAAAAUGUAUUGAUUUUAGGUUAGUACGAAAGGACCGCCUGUAAAAUAAUUUUUAUAGUAAGUUUUGGUUGUAUUAAGAAAUAUUAGU